CAUGUUGGACUUGGAUUUGACUUAGGACAAAACUAUCGAUUCUACACCGUCAUUUUCUGAAAUUAUCAGAUUUAGCUCUAGGAGCCGUAAUUUAUUUGUAUCGCAGCAGUUUAUGGGCGGUGGAUACCAAGAAUAGUGUAGAAUGCAUUUAUACUCGUGCUGAGAUGCCGAGUGUAUUUUUACAGUAGUGUACAGACUGUUCCGGACUGUCGGGUGCCGUUGUGGUUGACGGUGGACCCAGUUUGCAGUUUUUGCAUCAGAUGGUGCCGAGGGCACGUGGAUUAUGGUUGUUAGACCAGUGAGACCUUUCUACUUUGAUUACAGCCUGUGAGAGCCUGAUUGAGCUCGACAGAGAUACGCUUGCAUACUCGGUUGGAUAGCGCCCACGAGUGCCACUCCGGAGUCUGGCCUAAUGCUUUUGCGUUGAUGUCGGUUUGUCCUGUUUGGACUUGCUCUCCACUGACGACCUAGCGUGAUGGCAGUUAGUGUAGCUUCGACAGAUGGGACGGGUGUGUUCACAGUCCUUAGUGAGAUUGGGUCAGGAUUUAUAUUUUCUACAGAUUGUUAGUGUUGGAUCAUGAUAGUGUAGCGGCAUUUAGCUGUAGAUUUGUUCCAGCUUUCUUUACUAUCCCUACUUAUUUCUGUAGACUUAGUGCGUAAGCCGCUGAGGUUGGUAGCGGUACCCACUGAGGACUACUUCUUUUUGCAGUAGUUCUCACACCCAGUUGUGGAUCCUUUUUGCAGAGCCUUCUUCUUCGGCUGCUACUGCUGUGGAGAUUGAUCGUGGAAAGAGAGUCGUGAGCUAGAUCCCUUCCCAGUUGCUGCUGAUCUAGAGAUAUAUACCAGCUACAGGUAGUUGUAGUUUUUGGUUCUUAUACAUACUUAUGUUAGUACCUCGCCGGAGCGAGUGUUUUUGUAUCAGGAUAUUAUGUAUGUAUUUGAACCGAUGUUAUUUAUAUAUGUUUUUUUUUUAGCAGUUAUAUACUACUAGUAUAAUUACAGGUACAUGUACAGCUAUCGCUUCGUAUACAGAAAAAUUUUUUUUGUUUGCGGCGGAUUUGUCGACGUGCCCGGUGAAACGAGUAAUUCGGAGCGUGACUAGUUGUUAAUUGUUUUCAUUUAAUAUGCUAAAAAAUAAUUAAAAAUAUUAUAUUUAAUAAACUUGUUCAUAAAUUCCAUAGAAUAUCUAAUUUAGUUAAUAACAAAUUAUAAAUUAUUCAGUUUAUU
rnacentral:lncRNA from 1 species